rnacentral:rRNA from 1 species
UACGAAGGGGGCUAGCGUUGUUCGGAAUUACUGGGCGUAAAGGGUCUGUAGGUGGCCAACUAAGUCAGACGUGAAAUCCCUCAGCUUAACUGGGGAACUGCGUCUGAGACUGGAUGGCUCGAGUGCAGGAGAGGAAUGCGGAAUUCCAGGUGUAGCGGUGAAAUGCGUAGAUAUCUGGAGGAAUACCAGUGGCGAAGGCGGCCUUCUGGACGGAUACUGACGCUGAGGCGCGAAAGCCAGGGGAGCAAACGGG